rnacentral:rRNA from 1 species
GACAGCAGUCGCCGCGGGAAUACAGAGGGUGCGAGCGUUAAUCGGAUUUACUGGGCGUAAAGCGUGCGUAGGCGGCUAAUUGAGUCGGAUGUGAAAUCCCCGAGCUUAACUUGGGAAUUGCAUUCGAUACUGGUUAGCUAGAGUGUGGGAGAGGAUGGUAGAAUUCCAGGUGUAGCGGUGAAAUGCGUAGAGAUCUGGAGGAAUACCGAUGGCGAAGGCAGCCAUCUGGCCUAACACUGACGCUGAGGUACGAAAGCAUGGGGAGCAAACAGGAUUAGAUACCCCUGUAGUCCCUGUCUCUUAUAC